AUUCACCUUCCAUAAUUAGUUUUUAUCAGAUUUAUUAGUGCUGUGUAUUCGGAAAAAUAUGGCUCUAAAGGGUAAGAUGGAGACUGAAAUAGAAAUAAAGGCUGCCGCUGAUAAGUACUACAGCAUCUUCAAGACAACUGCCCACCACGUUCCCACAGCCACCCCUGACAUUAUUCAGGCAGUUGAGGUGCAUGAAGGUGAUUGGAAGACACAUGGCUCUAUCAAGGUCUGGAAUUAUACUGUUGAGGGGAAAGCUGAGGUUUUCAAGGAAAAGGUUGAAUUAGAUGAUGCAAACAGGGCAGCAACUCUUGUGGGAAUUGAAGGCGAUCCCAUGAAGUACUACAAGAUCUUUAAGGCCACAUAUCAGGCUAUUCCAAAGGGUAAUGGCAGUUUGGCCAAGUUGACUAUUGUAUAUGAGAAACUGAGAGAGGAUAUGCCUCCCCCAAUUAAGUACCUCAAUAUGAUGGUUAGUAUCACUAAAGACAUUGAUGCCCACCUUGCAAAGGCAUAGUCAUAAGCUGGCCGUAUCUGCGUGCAUGCAUGCUUUGGUUCCCAACUUCCAUAUAUGAUGUAUAAAAAACAUAUAUAAGAACCAGAGCAGUCAUCAUGUAUCUAUGCAUGCAUGCAAGGUUUGUGUAAGGUAUUAUUGCUUGGAGUCGUCUUCUCUAAUGAAGCCCUUUGUGGUGUUUUAAUUGUGAUGAAGAGUACUACUGGUGGUGCUCUCUACUUUUUAGGUCCUGGAAUAAGAUCACUCUGUAAUCCGUUUUAUGUGGUGUGUGAAAAAACUAUGAUCGAAUAAAAUUCUUAUGGUUUUGUGUUUA